rnacentral:rRNA from 1 species
CGAAGGCUCCAAAGGAAGUCACGGCUAACUCUGUGCCAGCAGCCGCGGUAAUACAGAGGUGGCAAGCGUUGUUCGGAAUUAUUGGGCGUAAAGAGCACGUAGGUGGGUUUGUAAGUCAGAUGUGAAAGCCUCCUGUUCAACGGGAGAAUUGCAUCUGAAACUACUGAUCUUGAGUAUAGGAGGGGGGAAUGGAACUUCUGGUGGAGCGGUGAAAUGCGUGGAUAUCAGAAGGAACGCCGGCGGCGAAAGCGAUUCUCUGGCCUAUUACUGACACUCAGUGUGCGAAAGCUAGGGGAGCAAACGGGAUUAGAUACCCCGGUAGUCCUAGCCGUAAA